UACGGGGGGGCAAGCGUUGUUCGGAAUUACUGGGCGUAAAGGGCUCGUAGGCGGCCAACUAAGUCAUACGUGAAAUCCCUCGGCUUAACCGGGGAACUGCGUCUGAUACUGGAUGGCUUGAGUUCGGGAGAGGGAUGCGGAAUUCCAGGUGUAGCGGUGAAAUGCGUAGAUAUCUGGAGGAACACCGGUGGCGAAGGCGGCAUCCUGGACCGACACUGACGCUGAGGAGCGAAAGCCAGGGGAGCAAAGCGGG
rnacentral:rRNA from 1 species